GACGAACGCUGGCGGCGUGCUUAACACAUGCAAGUCGAACGGAAAGGCCCUGCUUUUGUGGGGUGCUCGAGUGGCGAACGGGUGAGUAACGCGGGAGUAGCCACCCCUUGAUAUUGGGACAAAUUCAGGAAACUGGGGCUAAUAACAGAUAGCAGCUACCGCUGCAGCGUGGGGGGUGGAAAGUUUCGGCGGGGGGGGAUGGGAUGGCGCAUUAUCAGCUUGCUGGGGGGGUAGUGGCUUACCAAGUCUUGGACGGGUAGCCGGCCGGAGCGGGGGAGCGGCCACGUUAGGACUGGGAUGAGGCCCGGCCUCCUACGGGACGCAGCAGUGGGGAAGAGUGCACAAUGGGAUGAAGCCUGAUGCAGUGACGCCGCGCGCGGGAUAGGGGGCUUCGGGUUGUAAUCCGCUUUCGCAUGAGAAGAAGCGUGAGUGACGGUAAUGGGUAAAGAAGCACCGGCUAACUACGUG
rnacentral:rRNA from 1 species